GAUUAGGAAAUAUGUGGGGAAUCUCUCGGAAUGGAGGUGGCGAACUGGUGAGUAACACGUGGGAAACCUGCCCAGAAGCGGGGGAUAACACCUGGAAACAGAUGCUAAUACCGCAUAACAACUUGGACCGCAUGGUCCGAGUUUGAAAGAUGGCUUCGGCUAUCACUUUUGGAUGGUCCCGCGGCGUAUUAGCUAGAUGGUGGGGUAACGGCUCACCAUGGCAAUGAUACGUAGCCGACCUGAGAGGGUAAUCGGCCACAUUGGGACUGAGACACGGCCCAAACUCCUACGGGAGGCAGCAGUAGGGAAUCUUCCACAAUGGACGAAAGUCUGAUGGAGCAACGCCGCGUGAGUGAAGAAGGGUUUCGGCUCGUAAAACUCUGUUGUUAAAGAAGAACAUAUCUGAGAGUAACUGUUCAGGUAUUGACGGUAUUUAACCAGAAAGCCACGGCUAACUACGUGCCAGCAGCCGCGGUAAUASGUAGGUGGCAAGCGUUGUCCSGAUUUUAUUGGGCGUAAAAGCGAGCGGCAGGCGUGUUUUUUUAAGUCUGAUGUGAAAAGCCUUCGGCUCAACCGAAGAAGUGCAUCUGGAAACUGGGGAAACUUGAGUGCAGAAGAAGGACAGUGGAACUCCAUGUGUAGCGGUGAAAUGCGUAGAUAUAUUGGAAGAACACCAGUGGSGAAGGCGGCUGUCUGGUCUGUAACUGACGCUGAGGCUCGAAAGUAUGGGUAGCAAACAGGAUUAGAUUACCCUGGUAGUCCAUACCGUAAACGAUGAAUGCUAAGUGUUGGAGGGUUUCCGCCCUUUCAGUGSUGCAGCUAACGCAUUAAGCAUUCCCGCCUGGGGAGUACGGCCGCAAGGCUGAAACUCAAAGGAAUUGACGGGGGCCCGCACAAGCGGUGGGAGCAUGUGSUUUAMUUYGAAGCUWCSCCGAAGAGAUCCUUACCAGGUUCUUGACRUACUAUGUCAAAUCUAAGAGAUUAGACGUUCCCUUCGGGGACAUGGAUACAGGUGGUGCAUGGUUGUUGUCAGCUCGUGUCGUGAGAUGUUGGGUUAAGUCCCGCAACGAGCGCAACCCUUAUUAUCAGUUGCCAGCAUUAAGUUGGGCACUCUGGUGAGACUGCCGGUGACAAACCGGAGGAAGGUGGGGAGGACGUCAAAUCAUCAUGCCCCUUAUGACCUGGGGUACACACGUGCUACAAUGGAUGGUACAACGAGUUGCGAACUCGCGAGAGUAAGGUAAUCUCUUAAAGCCAUUCUCAGUUCGGAUUGUAGGUGCAAAUCGCCUACCUGAAGUCGGAAUCGCUAGUAAUCGCGGAUCAGCCUGGUGCGGUGAAUAAGUUCCCAGGUUUGUUGUUCCACACACACAUG
rnacentral:rRNA from 2 species